GUGUCAGCAGCCGCGGUAAUACGUAGGGCGCAAGCGUUGUCCGGAAUUAUUGGGCGUAAAGAGCUCGUAGGCGGCUUGUCGCGUCGGGUGUGAAAGCUCACGGCUUAACCGUGAGUCUGCAUCCGAUACGGGCAGGCUAGAGGCAGGUAGGGGAGAACGGAAUUCCCGGUGUAGCGGUGAAAUGCGCAGAUAUCGGGAGGAACACCGGUGGCGAAGGCGGUUCUCUGGGCCUGUACUGACGCUGAGGAGCGAAAGCGUGGGGAGCGAACAGGAUUAGAUACCCCCGUAGUCC
rnacentral:rRNA from 1 species